AUUCAACGGCAGGGAACAAGCAGUUCUUCAGCCUGGUGGAACGUGUUUUCAGGCUUUUUGCAUCGUCUGCCCAAUGAGAGGGAGAGAAGGGAGAAUGUCUGAGCAAAUCUCGGAACACCAGGGCAUAAUUAAUUGGUAUAUCUAAGGAAGCAGUGAUUUUGCUGGAAUGCCAUCCUUCGCGUUCUUUUGAAGACCCUGACCUGGAGUUACAUGCUGACUUCGGUUCUUUGCGGGAAUGGGACCCACUCUCAGGGUCUCAUGACUGGCCGCUAUUCGAUAUGCUAUACCAAGGACGCAGCCUAGAAGACUAGCAUGCCUUCAGGGUUUCGAGAUUUCAUGGCUCUGGAGGUGGGCGGACUUAAGGUCAGUGCCUCUGCAGAAAUCUGGUGUGUCAUGGGAAUGCACAGAAGAUCGAAAGCAGCGAGCUGGCUGCCGGCUGUGUGCCCAGAGACCCGAGUUCUUUGGGCACAGAGCUCAGAACAAGCAACGCAACAGACUUCUAACAACAUAAAUCAGUGAGUUGUUUUGUUAUGUCUCCCCUCUCGCUGUGAAACAGGGAUACAUCUUUUUCCCUUAUUAGGGAGAGAGAGAGAGAGACUGUGGUAUGUUGAAUUACCGGAACGGGUAGUCUUUGGGGUACUGCAAGUCUGUGUCUUUACUGAUGCUUUGCUGCAUGCUUGAGUGCUUGGUGGGGG